UCGUAUGAGAAAAAAGGAGUACCAAUUUUUUUUGAAGUUUACAGUGACGAGAAACACAAAUUUGCAGAUGGAGUAAUUUUCGCCCUUGACCGAUGGAGAACUGGUUGUGGUAGUGCGAGCAAGGGUGGUGAUGUUGGCACUAGAAUGAGAGCACACACUUUAUAUGAUUGUGAGAUGUACCAGUAUACCACAUCGACCACCCAAUUUUGCGAGUAACGAUGCGCCAUAAUUUCAGUAUUUAUCGAUUAAGCAUACAACCAUUCCGGCUAGAAGACGGAAUUAAUUAGCUUUUAGGUUGCUCAUUUUGACCCGUUUAAAGACGGCCUUUUUUCGGGUUGAUCCAUAUAAAAACGCGUUGGCCAUUUAACCCGUUUAAGUGUUUUUUCCUUACUAUUUAAAUAAAUUCUAUUAUUUCUCGGUUUACUAUAAAAAAGUUCUUAUCUUUUCCUUUUCUAAGUGUUCGCACACAAUAAUUAGGGCUACUCACAACGCUGCUAGACAUCGAUGUUUUGAAAGCUUAUUUGACAUCAAAUCUUUUUUUGCUGAACAGACCUUCGAUUUUGAUCACUAUUGUUUCCUUAUCCGCCCUUGGAUG